rnacentral:rRNA from 1 species
UAAUACGUAGGGGGCGAGCGUUACCCGGAAUCACUGGGCGUAAAGGGAGCGUAGGUGGCCUGACAUGUCGACUGUGAAAACCCGGAGCUCAACUCCGGACUUGCAGUUGAAACUGCCAGGCUUGAGGACGGUAGAGGAAGACGGAACUGCCAGUGUAGGGGUAAAAUCCUUAGAUAUUGGCAGGAACGCCGGUGACGAAGGUGGUUUUCUGGGCCGGUUCUGACACUGAUGCUCGAAAGCCAGGGGAGCGAACGGGAUUAGAUACCCCGGUAGUCCUGGCCCUAAACGAUGUUCACUAGGUGUGGGGAGCGGAAAGCUUUCCGUGCUAAAGCUAACGCGAUAAGUGAACCGCCUGGGGAGUACGCCCGCAAGGGUG